rnacentral:rRNA from 1 species
UACGAAGGGGGCUAGCGUUGCUCGGAAUCACUGGGCGUAAAGCGCACGUAGGCGGAUCUUUAAGUCAGAGGUGAAAUCCCAAGGCUCAACCUUGGAACUGCCUUUGAUACUGGGGAUCUCGAGUCCGGAAGAGGUAAGUGGAACUGCGAGUGUAGAGGUGAAAUUCGUAGAUAUUCGCAAGAACACCAGUGGCGAAGGCGGCUUACUGGUCCGGUUCUGACGCUGAGGCGCGAAAGCGUGGGGAGCAAACAGG